rnacentral:rRNA from 1 species
UACGGGGGGGGCAAGCGUUGUUCGGAAUUACUGGGCGUAAAGGGCUCGUAGGCGGCCAACUAAGUCAGACGUGAAAUCCCUCGGCUUAACCGGGGAACUGCGUCUGAUACUGGAUGGCUUGAGUUUGGGAGAGGGAUGCGGAAUUCCAGGUGUAGCGGUGAAAUGCGUAGAUAUCUGGAGGAACACCGGUGGCGAAGGCGGCAUCCUGGACCGGUACUGACGCUGAGGCGCGAAAGCUAGGGUAGCAAACAGG